UACAGAGGGGGCAAGCGUUGUUCGGAAUUACUGGGCGUAAAGGGCGCGUAGGCGGUACUUCAAGUCAGGCGUGAAAGCCCCGGCUCAACCUGGGAACCGCGCUUGAGACUGGAGAACUAGAGUUCGGGAGAGGAUGGUGGAAUUCCCAGUGUGAGAGGUGAAAUUCGUAAGAUAUUGGGAAGAACACCGAUGGCGAAGGCAGC
rnacentral:rRNA from 1 species